GAGGGUAUAACUCAGUGGUAGAGAGCAUGCCUAGCAUGCAUGAAGUCCUGGGUUCAAUCCCAAGUAACUCCA
rnacentral:tRNA from 1 species